rnacentral:rRNA from 1 species
GUGUGUUUGCAUGCUAGGCAAUGUGGUGUUAAUGCUUGUACCUGGGAUCGUGUACCUACCCGAAGUCUAAAUCCGAUUGUGGCUUUGGAUUCAUUCCAUAGCGGGUGAAAGUCCCGUGCGGGUAGGACUCAUUCUAAUCACACGGUCCUCAGAUGUGCAUGCAUUCGAGUCGGAUUGCUUGAGAAUGCAGUCCAAAGUGGGUGGUAAACUCCAUCCAAGGCUAAAUACUGGCACGAGUCCGAUAGUAGACAAGUACCGUGAGGGAAAGUUGAAAAGUACUCUGAAGAGAGAGUAAAUAGUACGUGAAGCCGAUUGCAGGGAAGCUGGUGGAGUCAAGCUUCGUGCUUGAGGGAUUGAUGCUGGGAGCAGGUGUGUGAUUUGGAUGUGAGGUUGGACGACUUGGAAUAAGUUGGGCGUGUUCUGAAUGCGCUUCAAGUCAUUCUGGGUAGAGUGUUAUGAGCCAGCCUCGCUUUCCUACUCUCAGUGUUGUAUUCUUCGCUGCACAGGCCACAGUCAAUAGGUGCAUGCGGUAUGAAGGCCUAACUGUGCUUCGGCGGGUGCAAGCUCUCCGGGCGCAGAUGGCAUGUGCUGUCUUCGGGCCUUGUGUUCGUUGAUAGUUGUUGUGGUUUUGACCGGCUGGUCUUCAUACUG